AAUGGUGGUGGAGGCAGAACAUCAUCACAGCCAUAGUCCCCAUCUUCAGAUAUUUCAGCUUCAACUCUAGAUCAAUAACAAACAAAAAUAAAUAAAGUAAAAUAAAACAAAUUGAAAAAUAGGAAAAUUACUACUUAAAAAUCGAUCCCCGGCAACGGCGCCAAAAUUUGGUGCGUCGUUUUACACCAAAAAUAUCCGGCAGUCUGCCGGAAUGCCUAUACUGCAGAGACAGUAGCAAGCAAAAUCGUCUCCCAAGGGAUCAGUGAGAAUUCUCCCAAAAUUCAACCUGCAAAGAAACUCCAGAAAUGAAAUUAAUGAGAAAAAUAUGAAAAAAAAUA
rnacentral:lncRNA from 1 species